rnacentral:rRNA from 1 species
AUUGAACGCUGGCGGCAUGCCUUACACAUGCAAGUCGAACGGCAGCGGGGACUUCGGUCCGCCGGCGAGUGGCGAACGGGUGAGUAAUGUAUCGGAACGUACCAUUCAGUGGGGGAUAACUAUCCGAAAGGAUAGCUAAUACCGCAUAUUCUGUGAGCAGGAAAGCAGGGGAUCGCAAGACUUUGCGCUGAUUGAGCGGCCGAUAUCAGAUUAGCUAGUUGGUGAGGUAAAGGCUCACCAAGGCGACGAUCUGUAGCGGGUCUGAGAGGAUGAUCCGCCACACUGGAACUGAGACACGGUCCAGACUCCUACGGGAGGCAGCAGUGGGGAAUUUUGGACAAUGGGGGCAACCCUGAUCCAGCCAUGCCGCGUGAGUGAAGAAGGCCUUCGGGUUGUAAAGCUCUUUCGGCCGGGAAGAAAUCGUAUCAGCUAAUACCUGGUGCGGAUGACGGUACCGGCAUAAGAAGCACCGGCUAACUACGUGCCAGCCGCCGCGGUAAGAC